UCCAACAAUCACAGUGUUUUUACAAAAUUCUGAACAUACCACAACAAUCAGAGGAACUAAAUGGGAAAUCCACAUGCACAUGGAAACCAGACACUACAAAAAUUCAUUUUCCCAUUCCCAAAGUUAUAAAAAGGACAAAGAUCACCAGGGGAAUAAUUUUAUAAGCACAAGUUUAUUUCAAGCUUAAAACUGCAUGCUGCAAACGGCCAUUUGUUUAUUCUGCUGUGAAGACAAUAAAAAAGGCAAAACAUAUUAAUCAACGUGUUCUUCAAAUUUGCCUUCAAAGAAAACGAAACAAAUUUCUAAGAAAGCGUGUCAAUAGCACGUGAAAAGCCAAAACACAAUCACAAGUUGAAUUAUGUGGCACUUUACAAAUUAAAAUUAAAUAAAAUUAAUCGAAACUUGAGUUUUGAUUUUAUUUAUGUUCAUCACCAAAUUGCACUGUUAUCUCCAAAUUGGAGUCGAAGAAGAAUCGUGGAAAUUGGUUAAAACCAAUGGCACCAGUAAAAACAAAGGGAGCUUUUAACGCCAGCAGCAGCAGCUGUUUGUUUGAUUACCUUUUCACGCCAGCAGCAGCUCAAGUUCUCUGCAAAAACAGCUCAAGCUCAAGCAGCUCA
rnacentral:lncRNA from 1 species